GAGGGUAUAGCUUCAAGCGGUAGAGCGCAUGCUUAGCAUGCACAAGGUCCUGGGUUCAAUCCCCAGUACCUCCU
rnacentral:tRNA from 1 species